rnacentral:rRNA from 1 species
GUAAACCAAGUCUUAAAACACAACCAACUGACCGCCAGAGAACUACAAGUAAAAAACUUAAAACUCAAAGGACUUGACGGUGUCCCACAUCACCCUAGAGGAGCCUGUCCUACAAUCGAUAACCCACGUUACACCUCACCUGUCCUAGCACAUACUAGUUCAGCCUAUAUACCGCCGCCUCCAGCCUACCUUGCAAAAGAAUUUAGAGUGGGCACAACAGCCAUCACUUAUACGCCAGGUCAAGGUGUAGCUAACGGACAGGCAGAGAUGGGCUACAUUUUCUAACACAAUAGAAAACACCAACCGCAACAUGAAAUAUACGCCAAAAGGCGGAUUUAGCAGUAAGCCGCGCAAGACUGCCCGCCUGAAGAAAG